GAAAAUGUUUACGUGUGGUGUGCCGUAGGAUGUCUCGAGUGCAGUAGAUUAUUAGAGCACCCAUUUGGAUAAGACAAAGUCAGCUAUGUUACUAUGACUGAUUAUGAGAGGGCUUUCUUAUCUGGCUGAGAGGUUGGCUUCGUGUCUUACAUCCUCAAAAAGAGCCACAAACACAAGGUGACAUGCUAACAGACAGCAAGUUUGGUCAGUCUCAAGGGCAACUCUACCAAGUCACCCUUCCUCAUUCAGUGUGGUUCCUAUAUAAGUUGCACUUUUUAAAACUCCAUUAGGAAUUGAAACACUUAUUAUAAAUCCACAUUUCCAGUAUUUUUUAUAUACUGACAGCAAUGAUGAAUUGCCUGUAAACUCUAUAAAGGAGAUGGGGAAUUCUGAUAACCUUUUCAGUAAAUAAAGCACAAUACAAAACUGAGUGGUCAAUAAUAAACAAAUGAUGUUUA